rnacentral:rRNA from 1 species
UACGUAGGGUGCAAGCGUUGUCCGGAAUUAUUGGGCGUAAAGAGCUCGUAGGCGGUUUGUCGCGUCUGCUGUGAAAACCCGAGGCUCAACCCCGGGCCUGCAGUGGAUACGGGCUGGCUAGAGGCAGGCAGGGGAGAACGGAAUUCCUGGUGUAGCGGUGAAAUGCGCAGAUAUCAAGUGGAACACCAGUGGCGAAGGCGAGUCCCUGGACGACUCCUGACACUGAGGCACGAAAGCUAGGGGAGCAAACAGG